rnacentral:lncRNA from 1 species
AUGUUAAGCCUCUCCCGGACGCGCCCUCCCGGCUCCCCGUCCCCGAAAGCCGCACCCCGGGGCCCCAAGGAGCCGCGCUACCGGCCCGCACCCCGCGCUCCCGGCCCCGGGCCUCAGGCUGCGGCAUCUCCAGCCCCCAGCCGCCGCCGGGACCGCGCGCCCGCGCCGCGGUCUGGUUCCGGAGCGGGGGCAGCCUCGGAAGGGUUGAGGAGUCAAGAACUGAAAAUUAGAUGGUUUUUUGGAUUUGAGGAUGUGGAAGAUCCUAUGAUUCCUCAUGUGAGUUAACUAUUUGGACCUUAAUGUCCGACGACGAGUCUCUCAGCGUUUAACUUUGUUAAUUAUGGCUUUCUCUGUAUAAAUUUAGAUUUUUUUCUCUCUGUAGGCAGAUCUGUCAAUGUUAUUUUUAAAGUUCCUGGCCGGGAUGUCAUUCUGAGAGAACGCCUGUUCGCCUCAGCUGAACAUAGAUAGUUUCCCAUCCUUUCCUCUGGUCUGAGUUUUGAUUUGCUUCGGUGCUGGUUCUGACCUUUUGUCCCGCCUGUGAGAGCAGGGCUCCCAGCUCUUCGCGAUUUCCAUCUCCGGCUCUCUAUUGAGAUCCCUGCUCUGUUCCUGCUAGGUGGAGGUAGUGUCUGGGCUCUCCAAGCAGUCUCUGUUGACAGACCAUGGUGGGAGGGACCCCUCCUUACCGUGGUGGGAGUGGGAGUUCCAGCUCCCCAUUUUCUUAUUAAUAAGGUUUGAGAAAUGUUCAUUCAUCCAUAAUAUCAUUGGCCACCCACCAGGGGAUACACCUUCAGUUGGCAAAUUUAAAAAAGACAUACUCUUUGCUCUCAAGCAGUUAAAAGGGUGUAACAUCAGAAGUGGAAAUGUGCAUUUUUAUAAACAUUUAUAAAUGGUUGAAAUGUGUACUAAAAUUGUAUGCAUGAUUAUACUGCAAAACUACAAAUAUGUUCCUUAAUGUUUAGUUAAAAAUCAGCUGGGAGCUUAUAUCACAAAAGAAUAAAGGUAAAUAAAUAUGAUAGGGUAUAAUUUAA